GUCUAUAGCCAUGCCACCCUAAACAAGCCCAAUCCUGUCUGAUCUUGGAAGGUAAGCAGGGUCAAGUCUGGUUAAUACUUGGAUGGGAGACCGCCUAGGAAGACCAGGUGCUGUAGGCA
rnacentral:rRNA from 1 species